rnacentral:sRNA from 1 species
UGACUAAAGAUAUCUUUUUUCCUCAGUGG